rnacentral:rRNA from 1 species
ACAACGAUGGAUAGGGGUUCUGAGAGGAAGGUCCCCCACAUUGGAACUGAGACACGGUCCAAACUCCUACGGGAGGCAGCAGUGAGGAAUAUUGGUCAAUGGACGAGAGUCUGAACCAGCCAAGUAGCGUGAAGGAUGACUGCCCUAUGGGUUGUAAACUUCUUUUAUAUGGGAAUAAAACGUUCCACGUGUGGAAUUUUGUAUGUACCAUAUGAAUAAGGAUCGGCUAACUCCGUGCCAGCAGCCGCGGUAAUACGGAGGAUCCGAGCGUUAUCCGGAUUUAUUGGGUUUAAAGGGAGCGUAGGUGGAUUGUUAAGUCAGUUGUGAAAGUUUGCGGCUCAACCGUAAAAUUGCAGUUGAAACUGGCAGUCUUGAGUACAGUAGAGGUGGGCGGAAUUCGUGGUGUAGCGGUGAAAUGCUUAGAUAUCACGAAGAACUCCGAUUGCGAAGGCAGCUCACUGGACUGCAACUGACACUGAGGCUCGAAAGUGUGGGUAUCAAACAGGAUUAGAUACCCUGGU